GACGAACGCUGGCGGCGUGCUUAACACAUGCAAGUCGAACGGUGAAGCGCCUUUCUUUUGGGUGGGUGGGGACGAGUGGCGGACGGGUGCGUAACACGUGAGUAACCUGCCCCCUGCUUCUGGAUAACCGCAGGAAAGUGUGGCUAAUACGGGAUAUUCUGGGUCUGUCGCAUGAUGGGUCUGGGAAGGAUAUUGUUUCGGUGGGGGAUGGGCUCGCGGUCUAUCAGCUUGGUGGUGGGGUGGUGGCCUACGAAGGCGGUGGCGUGUAGCCGGCCUGAGGGGGUGGCCGGCCACGCGGGGAGUCAGCCACGGCGGGGACUCCUACCGGAGGCGGCAGUUACGAGUAGCGCACAUUGGGCGUAAGGCUGAAGCGGCGCCGGCGCGUUACGGAGGGAGCCCUUCGGGUUGUGAGCCUCUUUGGCUAGUGAAGCAGGCCGGCCUCGAUUGUGGGUGGUUUGACGGUAGCUGGAUAAGAAGCGCCGGCUAACUACGUG
rnacentral:rRNA from 1 species